UAUGAGGAACAUUAAGACCAACCUACGCUCACGUUUAACUGAUGGAAGCCUCAACGCCUGCAUGAAGCUCAACCUCACCACGUAUGAACCAGACUACAAGGCCAUCAGCAAAACCAUGCAGCACCAGAAGUCGCAUUAAAAUCCUAUUCCCACACUGGCCCAUGGAGCAAGGCGUUUCAGCAGAAUCGUCAGCCCCCACCUUUGGCUGGGUAGCCGAAUGCUAGCAUCCUCUCCAGCCAACUGACUCUUUGCAUCCCACACUUCUUCCCGGAACCUCCAUUUCCACCCAUGGAAAUUGAGAUGUUUGCUGCUUGAAAGCUC